rnacentral:lncRNA from 1 species
AUGAACUUGCAAUUGUUUGUAUUUCUUAUACUUUCAAUGGAAUUUGUAGAUAAAGAUAACUACCCUCUGUUUGCACAAUUGAACACUAUACAUUGACUCCCAUUGUAAAAAAAACCACUCAAAAAAUAAUACAAAAAUCAUGAGCUAAAAAUCCAAUAAAUAAUAUGAAAAUACAUAUCUUUUCAUAGUAUUAAAAAAUUCAGCAUAUGACACAUCCAAUAGGAUCUUGUUCCACUCUUGAAACAGAAGAAUAUUGAAUAUAUUGUGGUUGUUGCAUGUAAUAAUAAUGAGGAUAGGCUUCAAGUAAUUGAAUUUGGUCCUUCUUCACAUCAGGCUUAGGUUCUUCUUUCUUCUUUUCAUCUUUUGCAGGUCCAACAGAAACUAUUUCAGCAUGACACCACUUCCUAAGUUUGCUUACUAC